ensembl:lncRNA
UACCACUACCAGAUGAAAGCCAUAGGGAGUCUAGGCAUCUACCACCCCACAACGGCUAACAGAUUGGAGCAAUAAAGGAGACUAGACAACUACCACCCCACUACAGCUAUCAGAUUAGAGCAAUAAGGGAGAAUAGACAUCUACCACCCCACUACCACUAUCAGAUUAGAGUCAUACAGGAGACAAGACACCUACCACCCCAUUACCACUAUCAGAUUAGAGUCAUAAAGCAGACUAGGCAUAUACCACUAUCAGAUUAGAGACAUAAGGGAGACUAAACAUCUACCACCCCACUCUAUUUGAUUGUGAGGAAUUCUAAAUCAGGUGAACAGAAGGAUUUGAGUUCCUGUAUGUUUCUACCACCCCACUACCACUAUCAGAUUAGAGCCAUAAUGCAGACUAGGCAUAUACCACUAUCAGAUUAGAGCCAUAAGGGAGACUAGACAUCUACCACCCCACUACCACUAUCAGAUUAGAGCCAUAAAGCAGACUAGGCAUAUACCACCAUCAGAUUAGAGCCAUAAAGGAGACUAGACAUCUACCACCCCACUACCACUAUCAGAUUAGUGCCAUAAAGCAGACUAGGCAUAUACCACUAUCAGAUUAGAGCCAUAAGGGAGAAUAGACAUCUACCACCCCACUACCACUAUCAGAUUAGAGCCAUAAAGCAGACUAGGCAUCUACCACCCCAAAUCCACUAUCAGAUUAUAGCCAUAAGUGAGAUUAGACAUCUACUACCCCACUACCACUAUCAGACUAGAGCCAAAAUGGAAAAUAGACAUCUACCACCCCACUACCACUAUCAGAAUAGUGCCAUAAAAGAGUCUAGACAUCUACCACCCCAUUACCACUAUCAGAUCAGAGCCAUAAAGCAGACUAGGCAUCUACCACUAUCAGAUGCGAGCCAAAAGGGAGAAUAGACAUCUACC